rnacentral:lncRNA from 10 species
UGUGUCAAAUGUCAAACUCUUGAGAAAGAGACUGAUAAGCUCAGCUCGAGGCCAGGAGAGAGAACCUGCUAUCUCUGGGGUCCAGAACAGAAGAGAUGAUGGCAAUGCACCUUGCAGGUGCAGUUUCCUUGGGGACCCCUGAACAAGGAGGUUGUUAUCUGGCCAUCUUCAUUCCCACCUUGUGGGAACUGGGUCCAGGGAACCAACACAAAUAAGCUGACAACUUGGCUACUGCUUUUGCUGCAGGGAUGCAUUUCACAGAGCACAUGAGCAACUCGGAGGGACCUGGGAAGCCAUGUGGCUGAUGCCUUGCUUUACAGAAGAGGACACCAGGCCCAGAGAGAGGAAGAGACUCCCUGGGACAGCAUGCGCAGCCAGUGGCAAAGCCAGGACCCACAUGCCGAUCCCCCCUUCCCCGCAGCCCUCCCUGUGUGGCAGGGUUGGUACCGAUGCGAUACCACAGCCACAGCCCUCCCAACAUCAACCCACUGGGCCGCCUGUGGGCCUCUGCUCUUCAAAGGAAGAAAGAGCUAUUUGGGAUAAUGGUCGCAGAGCCCUCUGAAGUUCCAAAGAGUUGGAAAAAAUACAUCUAUAAGACCCA